rnacentral:rRNA from 1 species
UACGAAGGGGGGCUAGCGUUGCUCGGAAUCACUGGGCGUAAAGGGUGCGUAGGCGGGUUUCUAAGUCAGGGGUGAAAUCCUGGAGCUCAACUCCAGAACUGCCCUUGAUACUGGAAGUCUUGAGUAUGGGAGAGGUGAGUGGAACUGCGAGUGUAGAGGUGAAAUUCGUAGAUAUUCGCAAGAACACCAGUGGCAAAGGCGGCUCACUGGCCCAUAACUGACGCUGAGGCACGAAAGCGUGGGGAGCAAACAGGG